rnacentral:rRNA from 2 species
UGGUAAUGCCGGAUGCUCCAGUUGAUCGCAUGGUCUUCUGGGAAAGCUUUCGCGGUAUGGGAUGGGGUCGCGUCCUAUCAGCUUGACGGCGGGGUAACGGCCCACCGUGGCUUCGACGGGUAGCCGGCCUGAGAGGGCGACCGGCCACAUUGGGACUGAGAUACGGCCCAGACUCCUACGGGAGGCAGCAGUGGGGAAUAUUGCACAAUGGGCGCAAGCCUGAUGCAGCGACGCCGCGUGAGGGAUGGAGGCCUUCGGGUUGUAAACCUCUUUUAUCGGGGAGCAAGCGAGAGUGAGUUUACCCGUUGAAUAAGCACCGGCUAACUACGUGCCAGCAGCCGCGGUAAUACGUAGGGUGCAAGCGUUAUCCGGAAUUAUUGGGCGUAAAGGGCUCGUAGGCGGUUCGUCGCGUCCGGUGUGAAAGUCCAUCGCUUAACGGUGGAUCCGCGCCGGGUACGGGCGGGCUUGAGUGCGGUAGGGGAGACUGGAAUUCCCGGUGUAACGGUGGAAUGUGUAGAUAUCGGGAAAAGAACACCA